CUAGCAGUGGCAACCUGCUCGGGUCCCCUGCCACACUAUGGAAGCUUUGUUCUUUUGCUCUUUGCAAUAAAUCUUGCUACUGCUUACUCUUUGGGUCCACACUGCCUUCAUGAGCUGUAACACUCACCGGGAAGGUCUGCAACUUCACUCCUGAGCCAGCGAGACCACGAGCCCACUGGAAGGAACAAACUCCCGCACGCCGCCUUUAAGAACUGUAACACUCACAGAGAGGGCCCGCGGCUUCAUUCCCGAAGUCAGUGAGACCAAGAACCAACCAAUUCCGGGCACGUUUCUUUUUCUGCAUCCGCUGCUCUGUUAAGUGAUCACCACAUUCAUUGUUCUCGUUUCUAUUAUUUCUGAAAAAAAUCUUCAGGAUUCUGCUUGUGGGAGUGGAUGACAUUUUUACAGUGUUUACAGGCUGAAAAUUUUUCGAGCUUUUAUGCUCUGCUUCCGUUAUAAGGAGGAGGCCUCACAAUCCUGGUGGAAGGCAAGGAGGAGCAAGUCACAUCUUAUGUGGAUGGCAGCAGGCAAAGAAAGCUUAUGCAGACACAAAAUGAACAAGAUGUCUGUGGCAACCCUCAGACCAUUGACGCCUUCUCUCCUAUGUAUCAAAUCACACAUUUGGACGUUGACUGAACCCUCACAUGUCAGAUGCUCAAUAUUGAGGUAUAGUAAAAGGGAGCAUGAACUUGAGAAAAUACGCUUUCAACACAAAGCUGUAAUAAUAUAAGGUCAAAUAAGAUUCUGCAUUGGAGAUAGAAAACUCUGAAGGAAGCUUUAUCUAUUCCAGAAUGUCAUAUAGCUGGUAUAAGGUUGUCUUCAUUCAUUUCCACAGUUUCUCUGGAGGUUCCAACAAGAUACGGUCUCCAUUGCCCAUUGCUCUGGACCCCAGCCAUCACCCAGUGCAGCAGUGAUGCCUUAUGACAAGUCAGCACCUGGUCUGAACUCUGCUCUCUUUGCACUGAAUUCUUUGAGUUUUUAUUCCAAGUUCAGUCAUUGGUUUUAGUAUUGGUUCCCAUCUGCUUGGCAUCCUUGGUGGAAUUGGGCUUCUUUUUUCAAUUUCUUUUUGCUGUCUUUUUGUUUUACUGUGUUGAGUAGUGCUAUCUAAAUGUGUUUAUCAUAAAAGAAGCAGCACAUGAUCAUAGGCCCAUGAGCCUGUUUUUCAAGCCAGCCAAACAGCACAUUUAGUUUGACAUUCACACUGGACCUCUGUCCAUUUUUAUAAACUUCGCUUUGGGUCAUCAAUAAAACUAAAUGAAGUUCUCUCUUGAUUUUUUGUUAUUGUUGUUCUGCAUACCUGGUAGUGAUCCAGAUACAAAGAUCACAGUUUCCACCUGCCGAAAAAGCAUAGAUUUUUAGAUCUGCACUUGGAGAUAGCCACUGUUGGGUUGCAUUGGACUUUCCAGUGAUAUAUGAAAUAGUGUUAUAAGAGACCCGUUAAAGUUCCG
rnacentral:lncRNA from 1 species